rnacentral:rRNA from 1 species
UACAGAGGUCUCAAGCGUUGUUCGGAUUCAUUGGGCGUAAAGGGUGCGUAGGCGGCGCGGUAAGUCGGGUGUGAAAUCUUGGAGCUUAACUCCGAAACUGCAUUCGAUACUGCCGUACUUGAGGACUGGAGAGGAGACUGGAAUUUACGGUGUAGCGGUGAAAUGCGUAGAUAUCGUAAGGAAGACCAGUGGCGAAAGCGGCGCACUGGACCAUAACUGACGCUGGAGGCGCGAAAGCUAGGGGAGCAAACAGG